CGACUGGAGUUGAAUUGCUUGGUUUUGUUUUGAAGUCAGAAAACCCUUUUUUUCCCUCUCAGAUUUUUGCUUCUCAAAUGUCUCCAUGGUUUUGUAUUUUACUGGUGUUUGCAGUGAAGUUGCCUGAGUUGAUGGCAUAUGUAAACAUUGAAGAGAAGACGUUGGUCCGCUUGCAGCAGAAAUUACUUGACUUUCUCAAGUUUCUGCAGAAGAAUUAGGGCACUUUCUUCCUUUAUGCUUAUGACGCCUCUAAAGUUUCCGAAGGGAGUGGCAAGGGGAAAGAUAAUUGAGCAGCAACUUCUGUUCCACCAACAAUGCGAUCAUACUUGCUACUGUCUCAAGGCAAAAGCAUUUUGUAGAAUUGCUUGACGGUGCUGCUGGCUUGUCUAAUUCUGUUUUGAUGAUCCAACAAGAUAAAUACUUCAUUUGUUGAUGUAACAUUAUUGCUUUAUAAUUUGUUUUAGUUGACAUUGAUUCAACGCUUUAUAGAAUGAAGAGAGCUACUUGGUGUAUUAGCUAAGUGUUCUAUACUUGUUUGUAAACAUUUGGUGAGUUGUUUGUUAUGUAUGUGUCCAAUACAUCAUGAAGAAAAGUUAUCCAAACAGAAGGUUAACAAAA